CUGGUUGAUCCUGCCAGUAGUCAUAUGCUUGUCUCAAAGAUUAAGCCAUGCAAGUGUAAGAAAUCUAGCACAUGGGGAAAACUUAUCUCUAUGAUGACCUAGACAUCUGUGGAUUGCUCAUUAAAAGAGUUUUAUACUCAGCCACUGGUAGUAUGAUGAAAUUUCUAGUUUUAUCAUUAGAAGGGUAACGCUGUUAACCUCUGCGAUAAUACAAUGAAUUACAACGAAUGAUAAGUGGACUAUCACUAAUCAUUCAGUAAUAGAGAUGCGGGUGAAUUCCCCAUCUAUUAGAACCAAAUUAUGAUCUUCUGAUGCAGGGAUUUAUCCUUGAUAGGUUGAUUAAUGAUUGGUUAUUGAUCGACUCGAAACAAAAAUGGGUACUCCACCUGAAUUCUAAUCGAUUCAGGAACGGAGAACUCAAAGAGUUGACCCAGAGGAAGUGAUUCUUACCUAUCAGUUUAUGACGCUCAAGUAAGGGUCGAACGUGACUUUUACGGGUACGGGGAAUUAGUGUUCAAAUCCGGAGAGGGAGCCUGAGAAAUAGCUACCACAUCUAAGGACGGCAGCAGGCGCGAAAAUUACCCAAUACUAAUACAGUGAGGUAGUGACGAGAAAUAACAACCUUCUUUUAAAAGAAGGGUACCAGUCAAACGGUUCGAAAUGGUGAUAAAUCAAAGUUCUAUCAGAGCAACAAUUGGAGGAAAAGUCUGGUGCCA
rnacentral:rRNA from 1 species